UGUUCCUGUCGGGUAACCGCGCGAACCUUUAGGAAGCGAGGAAAGUCCGGACACCAGAGGGCAAAGGGACCGGGUAACACCCGGACGUUGAAAGACGAUGGAAAGUGCCACAGAAAAGAUACCGCCCUUUCAGGGUAAGGGUGAAAUGGUGGGGUAAGAGCUCACCGCUGAUUUCGAAAGAAAACAGGCAGGGUAAACCCUCCCCGGUGCAAUCUCAAGUAGACAACCGUUACGAGUUUUGCCUGACCAUGGUUGUGGGUAGAGAGCAAAGACCUUUUUUGAAAAAAGAAGGCAAGAUAAAUGGUUACCGGCCAGCAAUGGUUACAGAAUCCGGCUUAUAGAUAGGAACAUUGG
rnacentral:RNase_P_RNA from 1 species